UGCCAUCACAGUGGAGGUAGCAACAGGGUUGCUUGUGUCACCCCUCUCCCAGCUCCACACAACUCAGCAGAGAGACUGACUCUGUUUGGGAGAAUGUAAGGGAAGAAAGCAAGAGUUUCUGCCUGAGAGAAGAGAGCAUGGAGGCAGAGCAGAAACUUCGUUAGCAGGCAUUCUGUCCUUUGGUUAAAAGAUAAAAGUGGCCAAGAUGUGGAAAAAGGAUAAUAAAACACAAAGGAAUAAGAGUUGUAUAACUCUGAGGGACGUAAAAGAAGGAGAUUCUUCUCUAUGCUCCUUGACGGCAUGAGUGGGACAAAUGCUUCCUUUGUGUACUACCUCACAGUGCAAGGCGAAUGGAUUUAUAUUGGGAGCUAGUUUCAAGAUGAAAUACUAAUUCUAAGCCAGUCUAUCCAUAUGGGGAUGGGGAAGCCUUGGCAUUGUCCUUUUUCUGAUAACCUUUGGACCCUUUGUAAUAUUUUAUUUGACAUUUUAUAUCCUCUGCUUUGUGGGUGGGGGUUUAGUGGUUACUCUCCUGUUUGGAAAAACAAACUCAGAGAAGUACCUAGAACAGUGUGAACACUCAUUUCUUCCUCCAACAUCACCUGGGGUUCCUAAGUGCUUAGAAGAAAUGAAACGGGAAGCCAGGACUAUUAAGAUUGAUAGAAGAUUGACGGGUGCCAAUAUAAUUGA
rnacentral:lncRNA from 10 species